GCAACGGCGGCCAGGUGGUGCCGGGCUUCAAGCCCGGCCCGGCCGCGCUGAUCCGCCGGUUCGGCGCCGACACCGCCGCGC
rnacentral:tRNA from 1 species